AACGAACGCUGGCGGCAUGCCUAACACAUGCAAGUCGAACGAGACCUUCGGGUCUAGUGGCGCACGGGUGCGUAACGCGUGGGAACCUGCCCUUAGGUUCGGAAUAACUCCCCGAAAGGGGUGCUAAUACCGGAUAAUGUCUUCGGACCAAAGAUUUAUCGCCUUUGGAUGGGCCCGCGUGGGAUUAGCUAGUUGGUAGGGUAAAAGCCUACCAAGGCGACGAUCCAUAGCUGGUCUGAGAGGAUGAGCAGCCACACUGGGACUGAGACACGGCCCAGACUCCUACGGGAGGCAGCAGUGGGGAAUAUUGGACAAUGGGCGAAAGCCUGAUCCAGCAAGGCCGCGUGAGUGAUGAAGGCCUUAGGGUUGUAAAGCUCUUUUACCCGGGAGGAUAAUGACAGUACCGGGAGAAUAAGCUCCGGCUAACUCCGUG
rnacentral:rRNA from 1 species